rnacentral:lncRNA from 1 species
GCCCUUUAGGUGGAUCGUGUCAAACAUCUUUUCUUUUUUAACUUUUCAAAUUCAAUUUUAAAAUAUUUAAUUAUUAUAAUGAUACUAUAAAAUAAUUAUUUUUAAAAUCUUUUAAAUUACCAUCCGAUUGAGUCUCAUAUGUCUCAGUAAGCCUUUAUCUUAAUAUAGAUAUUAUAUCAAUGUGAUGGUUUCCAUGAUAGACAGCCCAACCCUCACUCAUGUCUAAAUCCACUAAACUAUUGUGCUUCCUAUCCAAAACAAAGUCCAGUAUAUCACAUCAUCA